GAAAUGCGAUACGUAGUGUGAAUUGCAGAAUUCAGUGAAUCAUCGAAUCUUUGAACGCACAUUGCGCCCUCUGGCAUUCCGGGGGGCAUGCCUGUCCGAGCGUCAUUACGCACCCUCAAGCCCGGCUUGUGUGAUGGGCCCCGGCGUCUCGUUCGCGAGACGGGCCCGAAAGGCAGCGGCGGCGUCGACCCGAUGAGCCCGAGCGUAUGGGGACUUCUGUCACACGUUCGCGGUGCGGACCGGCGCCUGCUUUGACUUUUCUGAUUAUCCAGGUUGACCUCGGAUCAGGUAGGGAUACCCGCUGAACUUAAGC
rnacentral:misc_RNA from 1 species